GCUUACGGCCAUACCAGCCUGAAUACGCCCGAUCUCGUCUGAUCUCGGAAGCUAAGCAGGGUCGGGCCUGGUUAGUACUUGGAUGGGAGACCGCCUGGGAAUACCAGGUGCUGUAAGCAU
rnacentral:rRNA from 1 species